CGUAUGAUGGGGGAGAAGUUGCUAAUGAUGGAGGCUUGGAGGUAUAGUCGGGAUGCAAACUAUAUAUGUGUAAUGACCCGUAGGUCAUUUUUGGAUAUUUUCAUAAAAAAUACCAUUUUAACCCUUCUGAUAGUUACCCUGAGUCAUUUCUAUUCAGUUUCUGAAGUUGGUUUGGAAAUACUAUUGAGCGAUGAUUUUUGGAAGGUGUAAAGUGUUUAAAAGUGGUUUUUGGUAUCAAUCGGAUUUUUGAGUCUCGUAAUGGAAUUUCGUUAGUUCCAUCAGUUCUGAAAUGUCAAAUUUGAUCGAGGAGAGUUGUCAAUUUCAGAGUCGAGGUUGUUUUGUGGAUUUGAGAUUUUGAGUUGGAAGUUUGGGUGAUUUAUGAACAAGGGUUGACUUUUGUCAAUGUUUGGAAUUUGGUGGCUCGAAUUAGAUUUUUGAUGGUUCCAAUGGAUUUGGGGGAUGAUUUUAGACUUGGAAGAGAUCUUGGUUGAUUUUUUAAAGGCCCCGAUGUUAGAUUGAUCUUUUUGAGAGUUAAGUUAGUUUAAUGCGAUUUUCCUGGGUUUUGGAUCAAUGAGACUUCGAAUUCGUGUUUCGAUGGUUGCAUUGAGUCUGAAACGUUGAGUUUAGUUGGGUAGCAUAUCUGGUUUGUGUACUCAGGGUUCUAAACGAAUCCUGAGGGUCCAUUCGGUGAUUUUAUUCAUUGUGUGAAUUGCUGGUUUCUGAUCUCUAGUGUCUGAUUAGUUGUUCAUUGCAAUUGUGAGGCAAUCUCUUGAUCAUGUAGCGUUGUUUGUGUGGCCCUCACGAUCAUGUGUAGGGUUGUCAAGAUCACAAAUAGUGAAUUUCUUGGUCAUCGUGAUCGCGUGUGUCCAGUUGCAAUCGCAAUGGUCAACUUUAAUGAGUUGACUUGUUUACUCAUCGCGCUCAUGAGGCCUUAGGUUUUGAUCGCGAGAGUAAUUGAUGUAUGAACAUUGUUUUCUUUAGAAAAUUUGGAUUUCUUCCCUUUUCUCCCAUUGUUGAACCCUUGUAGCUCGGUUUAGAUGAUUUCUAAAGGGAUUUUCGAGUUUCUUAGAUUGGGUAACAACUUCUAACUUUCUAUCUCUUUUACCCAUUAAUAAUAUUUUGAGGAUUAAACUUGGGUUUUGAGUCUAAAAUUUGAAUGUUUUUUAAAAGUUAAAGGUUUUGGAUAAAAUUGUUUUUUUAGAUUGAAUUCAACUCUCUUUUCGAAAUGGUUUUCACCAGUGGUUUCCAACUUUCUUGGGUAAUGCAAUUUCAUAUAAGUUUUCCAGAUUCAAACCUUAUUUUUGGAAUCAAGUUUUUUGAGUCGAUUUGACCCCAUUUUCCAUAAGUCUUGAUAUGGGUGUUGUUAAAUUUGAUUUCUUACUGGGAUUACUUAUUUGAAUAGAUUGCAUUGAUUUGGAGACCCAAUAAAAACGAAAAGCUCAAGUCCCGGAGUAAUUGUUUGAGGCAAGUGAACCUCUUAACAUUUGUUAAGUAUAUAUAAUCUUGUAUUUCGUUAUAAUAUGUGUUGGGGAGUAAUGAGAUUUGGUGAUGGAAUUGACCUACUCAUAAUGAAUAAUUAUAGUUUAGAAAGAGGGUAAUAAAAAAGUAACUUGAUGAUAUGGACGCGUAAAGUGUUGUGGAUAAUUUGGAUGUUUGCAUUAAUUCACAAUUGGGGUUGUAUCAUGAUUGUGUUGAUUCGGUGUGUGUAUUGAUAUGAAAUACAUCAUAUUCUCAUGAUUUGUGUGAACAUGCCUAUUUGCAUUAGUUCUAAAAUAUUGUGAUGAUGAUGCCGAAGGGAAAUGGUUUCGAUGGCGCCGAAGGAAAAUGGUUUCAGCGAGUGAGAUAUGCCGAAGGGAAAUAGUUUCGACGAAUACGUGGACCUUCUAAUUCACCCAUGGGUUCUACCUGAUAUUCAACAGAUGUGUAUUGUAGGACAGACAUGCAUCACUAUAUUUGACAUUUCAUCUUAUUGCAUUGCACAUUAGUAUUUUCGUGAACCUUGUGUUGUUUGUGUUGGGAAUUGUGCUUAAAGCUUAUGAACCUUGUGUUAAUGAGUUGUAUGCAUUGAAGGGUUGAUAUUCGUGUUAAUGUAUUAAUUAUGAACUUCUAGGCUGGUUGAUUCUGGGCAGGUUGUAAUUGUAGAGGUUCGAUUGGAGUGUUUGGAGUACCCAUACAUUAUACUGUUGUCCUUUGUGUUUAGUGGUUUGCUUACUGAGUACCGUGUUGUUUAAAACUCACUCCUUGUUGCUACACUUGUGUAGGUUAUGAGCCUGGAUCUUUGUGAUUAUUCUCCCCUAGUUCGUUCGAGGCUUAUUGUGGAGAGUUGAGAGAGUUUUUUUCUUGAUAAGCGUAGUGGAAAGAAGGGUAUAAUGAUAGCACCAAGAGAGCUUGUUAUUUCAGAUAGUUAUAACCCACAAACUUGGAAAUGGAUUCUUUGAAGUGGCAUAUCUUAUUACUAUAAAUCAAUUGGAUAUUCGUGGAACAAUAGGGACAUAAAUGUUGUCACCAAAGACAAAAGAUGCUGCUUAUUUGGUGUUCAAGUUUGUAAAUGGGUGCAACAAUAGCCUUCCAUUAGCUAAAUCAAAUAUUAGGUUUGUUAAUUAUGAGAGCGAAAUUGAUGCUGAAAAUCAGGCAAACACUGUGCACCUUCCAAUAUUGCAAGAAAGUGGGGGUAUCCCCAAAAAUGAGAGGAGAUGGAUGGAAGUAAAAUUGAGAUAUUUUGAUAGCAAGAAAGGCACUGAUGGUCCUGUUGAAGCAAGAUUUUUGAGAAGAAUCAUUUUUAUAAAAUUGGACUCAUUGUUGAAGGAGUUCAGUUUCGUCCAAAAUGAGAAGUGUAUAUGGGAAUUUAAGUUUUACAUGUUUUGAACAAGAAAUCUUUGAAUUCUUAUUUUGAUUACUAUUUCAAUGUUUGCAAUUUACUACAAACAA